rnacentral:tRNA from 1 species
UAUAUAUUAAUGUAAAUAGCAUAUAAAGUUUUGAUCUUUAAAGAAUUGGUGGGAUUCCAUUGUAUAUAA